rnacentral:rRNA from 1 species
AUGGCUCUCUCCCCUCCCAUCCUUAAGAAAGCAAACCGCAUCAUCCGCGACUUUCUCUCGCACGGCCGCAACGAUGCGCGUGCGGGCUGCUGCCUUGUUAGUUGGGCGCGCGUGUGCCGCCCUUUGGAGCUUGGAGGCCUUGGGAUCCGCGAUCUUCUCCGCAUCAACAUUUCCCUCCGUGUCAGGUGGCUUUGGCUUCAGGCCACAAACGACUCUCGUACCUGGGCUCACCUCCAACCACCAUCCGACCUGGAGGUGCCGCACUUCUUCUGUGCCUCGACAUCUUGGGAGCUUGGCGACGGCAAUUCCUGUCGUUUCUGGACAGACAAAUGGGUCUAGGGCAGCACUAUCUCUGACUUGGCCCCUAACUUGGUGGCCCUAGACCCCAGCCGCCGCCGUCGUUCACGCACGGUGUCCGCUGCGCUCCAUGCCCGAACCUGGAUCAGUGACAUCCAGGGCUCCUUGGGCCCUGCUGCUAUGCUCGAGUAUGUUGACAUCUGGCAGCAUAUGCGGUCCACCACCCUCCAUCCACGGCCGGAUACCAUUAGUUGGAGGUGGACCGAGAGUGGCAUUUACUCCGCGUCCUCGUGCUAG